UAGCCAGUCAUGGAGAGUGAUUAUGUCCC
rnacentral:piRNA from 1 species